rnacentral:rRNA from 2 species
CCGGUCGCGGAGACGAGAGAUCGACUCCUUCAGUUAGGCUGGACCGGACACAGGUGCUGCAUGGCUGUCGUCAGCUCGUGUCGUGAGAUGUUGGGUUAAGUCCCGCAACGAGCGCAACCCUCGCCUUUAGUUGCCAGCAUUAAGUUGGGCACUCUAGAGGGACUGCCGGUGAUAAGCCGGAGGAAGGUGGGGAUGACGUCAAGUCCUCAUGGCCCUUACGGGUUGGGCUACACACGUGCUACAAUGGCGGUGACAGAGGGCAGCAAGUCCGCGAGGGCAAGCUAAUCCCAAAAAGCCGUCUCAGUUCGGAUUGCACUCUGCAACUCGGGUGCAUGAAGUUGGAAUCGCUAGUAAUCGCUAAUCAGCAGGUAGCGGUGAAUACGUUCCCGGGCCUUGUACACACCGCCCGUCACACCAUGGGAGUUGGUUUUACCUUAAGACGGUGUGCCAACCGCAAGGAGGCAGCCGGCCACGGUAAGGUCAGCGACUGGGGUGAAGUCGUAACAAGGUAGCCGUAGGGGAACCUGCGGCUGGAUCACCUCCUUUCUG